GCUUGCUUUGACAAAGCAUACACUGAAAACAGAACAAUGCAGAGAAGAUUAGCCUGGUUCCUGCAAAGGGGUAGCAUGCAAAAUUUUGAAGGGUUUCUUUUUGAA
ensembl:snRNA U6 U6 spliceosomal RNA